GAUGAACGCUAGCGGCAGGCUUAAUACAUGCAAGUCAAGGGGGUAGCAAUACAACCGGCGCACGGGUGAGUAACGCGUACACAACAUGCCAUAUACUGGAGUAUAGCUUUGGGAAACUGAAGGUAAUCCUCCAUAAUAUUACGGAUAGGCAUCUAUUUGUAAUUAAAGUUUCGACGGUAUAUGAUUGGUGUGCGUUUGAUUAGCUAGUUGGUAGGGUAACGGCCUACCAAGGCUACGAUCAAUAGCUGGCGUGAGAGCGCGACCAGCCACACUGGAACUGAGACACGGUCCAGACUCCUACGGGAGGCAGCAGUAGGGAAUAUUGGACAAUGGGCGAAAGCCUGAUCCAGCCAUGCCGCGUGAUAGAUGAAGGCCCUCUGGGUUNUAAAUAUCUUUUAUCUGGGAAGAAACACUUCUAUUCUUAGGAGCUUGACGGUACCAGAGGAAUAAGCACCGGCUAACUCCGUGCC
rnacentral:rRNA from 1 species